GUAACAAGGUUUCCGUAGGUGAACCUGCGGAAGGAUCAUUACAGUAUUCUUUUGCCAGCGCUUAACUGCGCGGCGAAAAACCUUACACACAGUGUCUUUUUGAUACAGAACUCUUGCUUUGGUUUGGCCUAGAGAUAGGUUGGGCCAGAGGUUUAACAAAACACAAUUUAAUUAUUUUUACAGUUAGUCAAAUUUUGAAUUAAUCUUCAAAACUUUCAACAACGGAUCUCUUGGUUCUCGCAUCGAUGAAGAACGCAGCGAAAUGCGAUAAGUAAUAUGAAUUGCAGAUUUUCGUGAAUCAUCGAAUCUUUGAACGCACAUUGCGCCCUCUGGUAUUCCAGAGGGCAUGCCUGUUUGAGCGUCAUUUCUCUCUCAAACCCCCGGGUUUGGUAUUGAGUGAUACUCUUAGUCGGACUAGGCGUUUGCUUGAAAAGUAUUGGCAUGGGUAGUACUAGAUAGUGCUGUCGACCUCUCAAUGUAUUAGGUUUAUCCAACUCGUUGAAUGGUGUGGCGGGAUAUUUCUGGUAUUGUUGGCCCGGCCUUACAACAACCAAACAAGUUGAC
rnacentral:misc_RNA from 1 species